rnacentral:tRNA from 1 species
UUCCUGGCAGUCCAGCGGUGAAGACUCUGCUCUUUCAAUGCAGUGGAGGCCCAGGUUCAAUCCCUGGUCAGGGAA